rnacentral:rRNA from 1 species
GGAUUAGAUACCCUGGUAGUCCACGCCGUAAACGAUGAUAACUAGCUGCUGGGGCUCAUAGAGCUUCGGUGGCGCAGCUAACGCAUUAAGUUAUCCGCCUGGGGAGUACGGUCGCAAGAUUAAAACUCAAAGGAAUUGACGGGGGCCUGCACAAGCGGUGGAGCAUGUGGUUUAAUUCGAAGCAACGCGCAGAACCUUACCAGCGUUUGACAUCCUCAUCGCGAUUUCCAGAGAUGGAUUUCUUCAGUUCGGCUGGAUGAGUGACAGGUGCUGCAUGGCUGUCGUCAGCUCGUGCCG